rnacentral:rRNA from 1 species
UACGAAGGGGGCUAGCGUUGCUCGGAAUGACUGGGCGUAAAGGGCGCGUAGGCGGUUUGGCCAGUCAGGCGUGAAAUUCCUGGGCUUAACCUGGGGGCUGCGCUUGUGACUGCAAGACUCGAGUACGGCAGAGGGGGGUAGAAUUCCACGUGUAGCAGUGAAAUGCGUAGAGAUGUGGAGGAAUACCGAUGGCGAAGGCAGCCCCCUGGGUCGAUACUGACGCUCAUGCACGAAAGCGUGGGGAGCAAACAGG